rnacentral:snRNA from 1 species
GUUCCCCUCAGCAGCACAUAUACUAAAAUUGGGACAAUGCUGAGAUUACCUGGCCUCUGCACAAGGACGACACAUAAUUUAGUGAAGUGUUCCAUGUUUUU